AGCUAUAUGGCCAAGAGGAUGCUGUGAUGAUCCGUGACAAAGGGAAGGGCCCCUGAAGUACAAUAGACUACAACUGAAAACACUUCUUAUCAACAGUGACCAGCUGCAAGAGUGAAUAAAUUGAGCAGUUUUAAUAUGUCUGAGAAUUGGGAUAUGGCCUUCUUCCAGUUAUUGUGCAUUUUAAUAAACUAGCUGUUUUGAUUGAA